UACGUAGGGGGCAAGCGUUGUCCGGAUUUAUUGGGCGUAAAGGGCUCGUAGGCGGUUUGUCGCGUCGGGAGUGAAAACUCAGGGCUUAACCCUGAGCCUGCUUCCGAUACGGGCAGACUAGAGGUAUGCAGGGGAGAAUGGAAUUCCUGGUGUAGCGGUGAAAUGCGCAGAUAUCAGGAGGAACACCGGUGGCGAAGGCGGUUCUCUGGGCAUUACCUGACGCUGAGGAGCGAAAGCCAGGGGAGCAAACGGG
rnacentral:rRNA from 1 species